CAAUUUUUAGAAACCUUUUUCUGUAGGAGAUCAAUUGAUUCUAUCAGCUAGCAGUAAAUCAAGAUGAAGUCUUACUUGGUUCUCUUGUUGGUCGUCUUGUCUGUUCUGUCCAUAGCUUCAGCUAAACCCGUAACAAAAAAGCAACAACUCCAACAAAACAAUCCACAGAAGGGACAACAAAAACAAUUGAAUGACUAUAAACAACAAAUAAUGAUAGACACGUUGGACAACGUAGAAAGUAA